rnacentral:rRNA from 1 species
GAGUGGCGAACGGGUGAGUAACACGUGGGUAAUCUGCCCUGCACUCUGGGAUAAGCCUUGGAAACGGGGUCUAAUACCGGAUAUCACCGCANUUNGCGCAUGUNGGGUGGUUGAAAGUUCUGGCGGUGCAGGAUGAACCCGCGGCCUAUCAGCUUGUUGGUGGGGUAAUGGCCUACCAAGGCGACGACGGGUAGCCGGCCUGAGAGGGUGACCGGCCACACUGGGACUGAGACACGGCCCAGACUCCUACGGGAGGCAGCAGUGGGGAAUAUUGCACAAUGGGCGCAAGCCUGAUGCAGCGACGCCGCGUGAGGGAUGACGGCCUUCGGGUUGUAAACCUCUUUCGCCAGGGACGAAGCGCAAGUGACGGUACCUGGAUAAGAAGCACCGGCUAACUACGUGCCAGCAGCCGCGGUAAUACGUAGGGUGCGAGCGUUGUCCGGAAUUAUUGGGCGUAAAGAGCUCGUAGGCGGUUUGUCGCGUCGGCCGUGAAAUCUCCACGCUUAACGUGGAGCGUGCGGUCGAUACGGGCAGACUUGAGUUCGGUAGGGGAGACUGGAAUUCCU